CGAGUUGGCCAGACAGUCGCUGCGUUCGUAAGAACGGGGAGGAAAGUCCGGGCUCCAUAGAGCAGGGUGCCAGGUAACGCCUGGGCGGCGUGAGCCGACGACCAGUGCAACAGAGAGCAGACCGCCUGCCUGAUUUAUCAGGUCGGUAAGGGUGAAAGGGUGCGGUAAGAGCGCACCGCGCGGCUGGCAACAGUUCGUGGCAUGGUAAACUCCACCCGGAGCAAGAUCAAAUAGGGUUCCACUGCUUACUUAGGUAAGUUAAUGCGUGGCUCGCGUUGGAACCGGGUAGAUUGCUUGAGCCGUUGAGCGAUUAACGGCCUAGAUGAAUGACUGUCCAAGACAGGACCCGGCUUAUCGGCCAACUCACCUC
rnacentral:RNase_P_RNA from 1 species